rnacentral:ncRNA from 1 species
AACCAGUCUUCUUGCCUGUUCUGGAUAUUUGUGUGAAUAAAAGCAUAUGCGAUCUUUUGUGACUCACUAUUUUCUUUCCAGUACCAAUGCUGGGUGAGUUAAAGCUUCUACAACUGGAGUGAGUUCCCUCUGAAUCCUUUAAGGAGGAUCCAUUGGAGGGCAAGUGCUGCCAGGAGCCACCACAGCUCCAGCUCCGAGAACAUCUAUUAAUGUUGCUGCAGUUCAAAGGCUCCUAGUUGGAUCUUGGCCAUGGGCCAGUUUCCCCCACAAGGCCAGUCAUUGCCAUCCUUGACCUUUGCCUCAGCUGACUCUUUGAUGCUCUUAGCUGAGGGCUUCCUGGGGCCCUCAAAUAUUUACUUAAAAAAAGUAGACCAUUCAAAGCAAGCCGGAAUUUCCUGGAUAAUGUAUCAGAGAAUCAUGGGAUAGGACCAUGGUUCUGUCUCUGGUUUCUGGACCUGAGGCCAUGAGUAAUGUGUCACUAGAGGUGAGGUUCUUGUAUCAGUACAAGAUAGACCAGAGUCAGAGUGAAAGCCUUCAGUAAUCAAGAAUGAAAGUCAAGGUUUUGAAGACAAUCAUAUACCCAUAUAGGAUCACAGUUCCAGCCAUAAACCUGUGACUCAAAGUUCAUCCAUGUUACUUCAGGAAUCAAUA